AACGAACGCUGGCGGCAUGCCUAACACAUGCAAGUCGAACGAGACCUUCGGGUCUAGUUGCGCACGGGUGCGUAACGCGUGGGAACCUUCCCUUAGGUUCGGAAUAACUCCCCUAAAGGGGUGCUAAUACCGGAUAAUUUCUUCUGACCACAGAUUUAUCGCCUUUGGAUGGGCCCGCGUUGGAUUAGCUUGUUGGUAGGGUAAAAGCCUAUCACGGCGACGCUCCAUAGCUGGUCUGAGAGGAUGAUCAGCCACACUGGGACUGAGACACGGCCCAGACUCCUACGGGAAGCAGCAGUGGGGAAUAUUGGACAAUGGGCGAAAGCCUGAUCCAGCAAUGCCGCGUGAGUGAUGAAGGCCUUAGAGUUGUAAAGCUCGUUUACCCGGGAUGAUAAUGACAGUACCGGGAGAAUAAGCUCCGGCUAACUCCGUG
rnacentral:rRNA from 1 species